AAUUCCCUAUGUGUGUUUAUAGUGGAAGGACUAUUAUUAUGAAUGUGUGCCGCUAGUUUAUGUGAGUUCCGCUAUUCCGGUUUCACUUUCAUUUUCAAUAGCCGAUUGCUGCGCCAUUUUCAUCAGGUGUUAAUGUGCGUGAUUGAAUGUAAGUUUAUUUAAUCAUUCCUGAUUAUAGGUCAGCUAUGUUAAUUUCGUUGUUGUGUUUAAAUACUCAACUUGUGUAAUCGAACUUUACAUUGUUUAUAAUGUUGUUAUAUUUAAGAUAUACAGUGAUUCAAAUGUGUAUGCUCACUACCGUUAAUCCUCUCAUGUUGAUUAAUGUAUAAUGUGACAGUAGAAAGUUGUUAGUUCCAUUACACGUCUGUAAUUUACAUUUAGCAGAUGUAAACUGAUGUUUGUUUAUUCUGUUUAUUUCAGAAAGACCACAUUUAACACUUUGUGGCCAUAACUUGUACAAUAUCCAGUCUAAUUGGAGCAAUGUUGUGCCAUCUGCUGUGAACCCUAAAAUACUUCAGAUAAAGAGUUGAACAGUGCCCUGUCUCCUGUCACACUUCUUACCGGAGUCCCGUGGUGGAUUAGCAUCAACACCCCUACCGAUCUAUCAGUCCCGUUCAUUUUGGUCCUUCGAGCCGGAUGCUAUAUUCACUUCGGUGAUAUGGAGCAACAGAGCCUACUUCAUUCCCCUGAUACGACAUACGGUGUUCGCACACAGGCGAGAGCACGUCAGCUUUCCACACGUCUGCAAGCUUAUGAUGUAGCCUUGCCGAAGUCUCUCAUACCAGACCCUGUUCUUCACGAAAGUUCAUACCACCUACCAAGGAUGGAUUCUCCCGCAGCACAGUUCGACCUCAGUGGACAGGCUGAGCCAGUCUCGACUGUGGAGCAGCUGCCCAUGGGUGAUCUAUCGCUGGUGCAGUAUGGAGAAGUGUCCGCUAUGAGUCAUCAGUUGGAUGUUGAGAGAUCUGUCGGUCAUCUUAGCUCUUCAGUAGCUCCUCCAGGGUAUCACAGCCCAUCCGAGUGUGAUUCAUUCAGUAGUGGUGCUGCAUCACCCAUAUUCCAGGUAGAUGUACGAGCCCAAACUACUUCACCACCUGUAGUCAGACCAAAGGCUACUGCAGUCUCAUCUGUCCUGCUUCCGCAUUUAGGCCAGUCAUUUCAAGCUCAGACAGCCCACAUUGAUAUUUCUCAGCAGUCAGUUUUGUGGCACGUAACACAAGGCACCCUUCCUGCUGCAUAUGGUACUACUUCGACAUAUCGUGGUGCUCCCCCCUUAUCUGUACCACAUGUAACGCCACAGCAGGGGGUUCUGUUCAGCACAGUAGAUUCUACAUGUCAGCUUACCUCAUCACUGCCACAUACUGUUACUUCAGUGAAGCUGCCUUUGACCACUACAGCGUAUAGGCCUUUAGUACCCCCUGUAUAUCAGUUACAGGCUCACAUGCCGAGCCAAGCCACACGGCAGUCGUUCGCUGUCUCUGACCCGUAUCGCCCUCCUCUACAGACUGCUGGGUAUCACCCUGCUCAGCCUCCCGUCCACACUCCUGUGCAGCCUGGGUAUCCCCCUUCAGUGGUUUGCCAACCACCACCUCCUUUUCCGGUUUACCAGCCUCUGCCAGUUACACCCCAGCUACAACCAGUUCCCAUUCCAGCCUUGCCUAAGCUUGUGAACGAUAGUGAGAGGGAGUUCACAGACCUGAAGAUGGCCUUGGAUAAUCUUCUCAAUCCUCACACCGAGCUUACAGAGCACUAUAAAUACAGGGUACUGAUGGAGCAGUUGGUUCUUGAGGAAGCUAGGUUAAUUGCCCAAGCAUGCCGACAUCAUCCUGCGCCCUAUAUGGCAGCUAUGAUAGCAUUGCAACGACAGUAUGGCCAGCCUCAUCAACUGGCACAGAGCGAGAUCGCAGCCCUGCUGAACUCACCUGAUAUUAGAGUUGGUGAUGCAAAGGCCUUUCAGAGUUUUGCACUCAAUGUUGAUUUACUAGUUGGUAUGCUGAUGUCACUCGAGGGGCCACAGGGCCGAGAGCUCUCUUGUACAGGGCAUGUCGAUAGAUUACUCAGUAAGUUGCCCAAACACUACCGAGACAGCUUUAUAGAGCAUUUACAGUUACGAGGCCGAUUGCACACUGACAGCCUAAAUCCAUAUAACCUGCAUGACCUUGCUGACUGGUUGAAGGUCAAGGCGGAAGCGCAGCGUUUAUCUACCAAGAUGGUGCAGCGCUACCAGACAGAGAGAGUACAGGUCUCACGUAAGGACCGCCAGUCUGUACCCAAGCCCCAGACUCGAUCCACUGCAGUCUAUCAUGGAAGUGAACAGCCCAUGGAAGCUAGCACAGGGCAGUCUGUCCAUACCAAUGCUGCUAAUUCUCAGUCAUCGGCCAGGAGACUGAAGCGUUUGUGUCUGUUCUGUAAGAGUCAGGAGCAUUACCUGUCACAGUGUAGCAAAAUCACUGAGUGCUCACCUGAUCAGAUUCUGAAGUGGAUAAAGGAUGGGAAAAGAUGCUGGAAAUGUGGACGCACAAGUCAUAAAUGGGAGGAAUGUACUCUGAAGAAGCCCUGCAGGGAUUGUGGUAAUAUACAUCUCGGAGUGCUGCAUUCCAUUGCCCAGGAUGGUCCUAGCAGUGUGCUGCUGACAACUUCUCACGAGCGUGCAUAUCUCACUUCUCCUAGUUUCACGGGUCGUGUGUACUUGAAAGUAGUUCCAGUGCUUCUGUGGAGAGGCAAGAGGUCUAUUUCAACUUACGCUAUCUUGGAUGAUGGGGCUCAGCGGAGUAUCAUCCUUCCUGCAGCUGUCCAGCAACUUGGUAUUGAUGGAAGAGAAGAGAUUAUGGCCCUUCGUACCAUCCGACAUGACAUCACAGAAUUGAAGGGGCAGUCAAUUGACUUGCUGCUUUCCCCACAGUCAAGGCCAGAGGAGAAGCACAGCCUUACAGGUAUCUUCACCGCGCCUCUCCUCACGCUUACCGAGCAAACCUACCCCAUCAAGAGGCUCCAGCGAUGUUAUCACCAUCUCAGAGGGAUCCCCAUUCCAUCUUUCGCUAGGGUCCAACCCUUAAUUUUAAUUGGGUCUGAUUAUCCUACAUUAAUUACCCCAAAGGAGCCCAUCAGAUUGGGCCCAGCGGGCGGACCAGUCGCUGUACGCACGCAGCUCGGUUGGGUCCUCCAGGGACCAGAUGGAUUGCUCCCACAUCAGAUACCUUCAUCUCAGUGUUUGUUCACUUCUCUUACACCACUGCGAGAUCCUGUCUAUCAGCAUGUUGAACGACUCUGGCAGCUUGAUGUCCUUCCAUCUCGCAGCGAGAAAGUUAUAACUCGGUCUAAACAGGAUCAGAUGGCUGCAUACAUGUUGGAGACCAAGACGCGACGAGUAGAAGUUGACGGAGUCCGGCGCUACGCUACUCCACUCCUUCGUGCGCCAAACGCUCCACCGCUGAAGGGGACUAUGGAAUCUGUUUUGUCCAGCCUCAGGAACACUGAGAAACACCUGAGUAGAGACCCUGAGAGGGCUAAGGUGUACGAAGCUGAAAUACAGAAGCUCCUUGAUUCAGGGUAUGUUGUGAGGGUACCAUCAGAAGGCCAGCAGGUAGACGAGGAGUCGUGGUUCAUACCACACCACCUCGUGCAGCAUAAUGGCAAAUACAGGUUGGUCUUCAAUUGUUCCUUUGCCUACCAAGGUAUGUCUCUUAACCAGCAGUUGCUUCCAGGUCCUACCCUCGGUGCCUCACUGCUAGGAGUACUUCUGCGGUUCCGGCAGUACGCAGUCGCCAUCAGUGGGGAUAUACGUGGUAUGUUCCACCAAGUGAGACUCCUACCGGAGGAUAGACCCCUUCUGAGGUUCAUUUGGAGGAACAUGCCCAGAAAGGACCCGCCAGACAUCUAUGAAUGGCAAGUCUUGCCUUUUGGGACGACCUGCAGCCCCUGCUGCGCCACCUUCGCGCUGCAGAUGCACGUUCGCUGCCAGCAGUUCGGCAAUGAGGAAGUAUUGCAGUCCAUAGAGCGGAGCUUCUAUGUGGACAACUGCCUACAGAGCCUUCCCACUGCUGAGGAAGCCAAGCGACUAAUUGACAAGAUGAGGCCUCUCUUAGCCUCCGGGGGCUUUGAAAUCAGACAGUGGGCCACUAAUAUCCCUUCUGUUGUCCAGCACCUCCCAUCUAAGGCUCGUUCAGAGAGCAUCGAAUUGUGGUUACGGCAAAAUCAUUCAGACCCAUUGGAGCCGGCUCUUGGCUUAAUGUGGCACUGCCUAGAAGACAGCCUGGGUUACAGGCAUCGUACACUAGCAGAGGAUCAUCCGACCAUGAGGUAUAUUUAUAAGGUCUUGGCAACGCAAUAUGACCCUCUAGGAUUCUCCAUUCCUUUCACCACCCGUGCCAAGGUUCUCGUUCAGAGACUCUGGAACAAACCGAGAGAUUGGGAUGAUCCGAAUCUUCCUGCAUACCUGCUGGAGAAGUGGACCGUAUGGGAGAAGGAGCUGCCUGAUCUCUAUAAGCUCACGCUUCCAAGGUGCUAUCUUCCUGCUGACUUUGAUGUGGAGAAAUCAAAAUUAAGCCUUCAUGUGUUUGGCGAUGCAUCCGAGGUUGCCUAUGGGUCGGUGGCUUAUCUCCGUGCAGAGCAACACAGUAAGAUCCACACUACCUUUGUCAUGGCUCGCUCUAGGGUAGCCCCCAAGCGUCAACUGUCGAUGCCACGUCUCGAGCUGUGUGCAGCAUUGACUAGCGCUCAGCUUGCACAGUUUCUCAAACAGGAGCUAACCAUUGCCAUAGAGACAGUGACAUUAUGGACUGACUCGACUACAGUGCUCACCUGGAUCCAGUCUGAGUCCUGUAGAUACAAAGUGUUCGUCGGGACAAGAGUGGCAGAAAUACAAGAGUUGACUGAGCUCCACUCUUGGCGAUACGUUGACUCCUCAAAUAACCCGGCGGACGAUAUUACCAGAGGGAGAACGCUCAAGGAGCUGGCUAACUCUGACAUGUGGAGUCGAGGCCCAGGAUUCCUCCGUGAACCGCCAGAUCAUUGGCCAGUCAAGCCCCUGGCAGAGGCCCGAGAGGAUACCUCAGAAACAAGGAAAGCUGUUUUCUGUGGAUUAGUCACAGACGAUCGAAAUCCAGACAUGCCUGAUGCAUCUCAAUAUACUUCUUGGAGUGCCUUAGUCGACGCGACCUACCGGUCCCUCCAUGGGGCGGCCGCCCAAGAUACUAGUAAAGCAUCCUUAGAAUACAGGCGUGCAGAAGCUCUUAUCUUGAGUCAAUGUCAGGAGGAGUCUUUCCCAGAGGAAUUCAAGGCUUUAAAAUCAGGGAACCAGGUGCCCACAGCCAGCCGUCUGAACACGCUUGCACCCGAGUUCGACCCUGAGUUCUGCCUAAUUCGUGUGGGAGGUAGGCUACGGCGAUUGGAUGGCUUCAGCAAAACCGAGAUACACCCAGUGGUUCUAGAUCCCCAUCAUCAGGUGACAAAACUCAUCGUUAAGCACUUUGAUGAGCGUCUACUCCAUCCAGGACCUGAUAGGGUCUUCGCAGAGCUACGUCGCCAUUUCUGGAUCCUAAGGGGCAGGCAAGCCAUCAAACGACACCAGAGAGAGUGCGUAGAAUGUCAGAAGUGGAGAGCUAAGCCGACUCUACCUAUUAUGUCUGACUUACCCUCAGCUCGCCUAAGAUUGUACCAACCCCCCUUCUUCUCUACUGGAGUCGACUGCUUCGGGCCAUUCAUGGUUAAGAUUGGCCGUAGGACGGAGAAGCGAUGGGGCGUCAUCUUCAAGUGCCUGACAACCAGAUGCAUUCACCUUGACCUGCUCAGCAGCAUCGACACUGAUGCAUUCUUACUGGCAUUAAGGCGCUUCAUAGCACGCAGAGGAACCCCAUCUGAGAUCAUAUCAGAUCAGGGUACUAACUUCCGGGGAGCCGAGACCGAACUGAGAGAAGCUUUCAAGGAGAUGGAGCCCAGACUGCAGGAGCAGCUGGCUAGCUAUCAGAUCACUUUUAGGAUGAAUCCUCCCGCCGCACCCCACUUCGGAGGCGCAUGGGAAAGGGAGAUCCGAUCUGUAAAGUCUGCACUGCGAGUAGUCAUCGGGAGUCAGUCUGUGCCUGAAGAUGUCCUACAGACUGUACUGAUCGAAGUAGAGGGUAUCCUGAACAGCAAGCCCUUGGGAUACGUUUCAUCCGACGUGGCAGACUUGGAUCCAAUUACCCCAAAUAUGCUUCUCAUGGGGCGGCGAGACGCCUCGCUUCCCCAGGUGGUCUACACCCCUGAGCCCUUGUCCAAGCGUCGCUGGCGUCAUUCCCAGACUAUCAUCGAUCAUUUCUGGUCUUACUUUACACAACACUACCUACCGGGUCUCCAGACUCGCCAGAAAUGGCAGCGGGUAACUCAAGAUCUAGCUGAGAACACGGUGGUCAUGAUAAUCGACCCGCAGCUUCCCAGAGCCCAAUGGCCAAUUGGUCGGGUUGUCAAACUGAUACCCAGUGCUGAUGGACACGUCAGGUCAGCUCAAGUACAGGUCAAUGAUCGCCUAUACCUACGACCUGUGGCCAAACUUGUCAGACUUCCGGCACUACCGGACGGAGGUGAAGCGGACUCCAAUGACUAGGGAAUUUAUCAUUAGACAUAUUAGCUAUGCUAAUCUGGGGGCGGCUGUUCUAAAUUCCCUAUGUGUGUUUAUAGUGGAAGGACUAUUAUUAUGAAUGUGUGCCGCUAGUUUAUGUGAGUUCCGCUAUUCCGGUUUCACUUUCAUUUUCAAUAGCCGAUUGCUGCGCCAUUUUCAUCAGGUGUUAAUGUGCGUGAUUGAAUAAAGACCACAUUUAACACUUUGUGGCCAUAACUUGUACAAUAUCCAGUCUAAUUGGAGCAAUGUUGUGCCAUCUGCUGUGAACCCUAAAAUACUUCAGAUAAAGAGUUGAACAGUGCCCUGUCUCCUGUCACACUUCUUACCGGAGUCCCGUGGUGGAUUAGCAUCAACACCCCUACCGAUCUAUCAGUCCCGUUCAAUGAGAUUAGGUGAAACU